rnacentral:rRNA from 1 species
GCUUGUCUCAAAGAUUAAGCCAUGCAUGUCUAAGUAUAAACAACUUUAUACUGUGAAACUGCGUACAGCUCAUUAUAUCAGUUAUAAUUUAUUUGAUGGUGAUUUACUACAUGGAUAACCGUGGUAAUUCUAGAGCUAAUACAUGCACCCGUGCCCGACUUUGUGGAAGGGUUGUGUUUAUUAGUUACAGAACCAGCCCAGGCUCUGCCUGGUCUUGUGGUGAUUCAUAAUAACCGAACGAAUCGUAUGGCAUCAGCUGGCGAUGAAUCAUUCAAGUUUCUGACCUAUCAGCUUCCGACGGUAGGGUAUUGGCCUACCGUGGCAAUGACGGGUAACGGAGAAUUAGGGUUCGAUUCCGGAGAGGGAGCCUGAGAAACGGCUACCACAUCUAAGGAAGGCAGCAGG